CGAACGAAGCAAUUAAAGGAAGUUUUCGGAUGGAAUUUGAUUGACUGAGUGGCGGACGGGUGAGUAACGCGUGGAUAACCUGCCUCACACUGGGGGAUAACAGUUAGAAAUGACUGCUAAUACCGCAUAAGCGCACAGUACCGCAUGGUACGGUGUGAAAAACUCCGGUGGUGUGAGAUGGAUCCGCGUCUGAUUAGCCAGUUGGCGGGGUAACGGCCCACCAAAGCGACGAUCAGUAGCCGACCUGAGAGGGUGACCGGCCACAUUGGGACUGAGACACGGCCCAAACUCCUACGGGAGGCAGCAGUGGGGAAUAUUGCACAAUGGGCGAAAGCCUGAUGCAGCGACGCCGCGUGAGUGAAGAAGUAUUUCGGUAUGUAAAGCUCUAUCAGCAGGGAAGAAAAUGACGGUACCUGACUAAGAAGCCCCGGCUAACUACGUGCCAGCAGCCGCGGUAAUACGUAGGGGGCAAGCGUUAUCCGGAUUUACUGGGUGUAAAGGGAGCGUAGACGGCGAAGCAAGUCUGAAGUGAAAACCCAGGGCUCAACCCUGGGACUGCUUUGGAAACUGUUUUGCUAGAGUGUCGGAGAGGUAAGUGGAAUUCCUAGUGUAGCGGUGAAAUGCGUAGAUAUUAGGAGGAACACCAGUGGCGAAGGCGGCUUACUGGACG
rnacentral:rRNA from 1 species